UACGUAGGGUGCGAGCGUUAAUCGGAAUUGCUGGGCGUAAAGCGUGCGCAGGCGGUUUUGUAAGACAGGCGUGAAAUCCCCGGGCUCAACCUGGGAAUGGCGCUUGUGACUGCAAAGCUGGAGUGCGGCAGAGGGGGAUGGAAUUCCGCGUGUAGCAGUGAAAUGCGUAGAUAUGCGGAGGAACACCGAUGGCGAAGGCAAUCCCCUGGGCCUGCACUGACGCUCAUGCACGAAAGCGUGGGGAGCAAACAG
rnacentral:rRNA from 1 species